rnacentral:rRNA from 1 species
UGGGGAAUUUUCCGCAAUGGGCGAAAGCCUGACGGAGCAAUGCCGCGUGGAGGUGGAAGGGCCUACGGGUCGUCAACUUCUUUUCUCGGAGAAGAAACAAUGACGGUAUCUGAGGAAUAAGCAUCGGCUAACUCUGUGCCAG